GACGAACGCUGGCGGCGUGCUUAACACAUGCAAGUCGAACGAUGAAGCCGGAGCUUGCUCUGGCGAAUUAGUGGCGAACGGGUGAGUAGCACGUGAGUAACCUGCCCUUGACUCUGGGAUAACUGCUAGAAAUGGUAGCUAAUACCGGAUACGACCCUCGGAGGCAUCUUCAGGGGGUGGAAAGAAUUUCGGUCAAGGAUGGACUCGCGGCCUAUCAGCUAGUUGGUGAGGUAAUGGCUCACCAAGGCGACGACGGGUAGCCGGCCUGAGAGGGUGACCGGCCACACUGGGACUGAGACACGGCCCAGACUCCUACGGGAGGCAGCGGUGGGGAAUAUUGCACAAUGGGCGCAAGCCUGAUGCAGCAACGCCGCGUGAGGGAUGACGGCCUUCGGGUUGUAAACCUCUUUUAGUAGGGAAGAAGCGAAAGUGACGGCACCUGCAGAAAAAGCACCGGCUAACUACGUGCCAGCCGCCGCGGUAA
rnacentral:rRNA from 1 species